UACGAGGGGGGGCUAGCGUUGCUCGGAAUCACUGGGCGUAAAGGGUGCGUAGGCGGGUUUUUAAGUCAGAGGUGAAAUCCUGGAGCUCAACUCCAGAACUGCCUUUGAUACUGAAAGUCUUGAGUAUGGGAGAGGUGAGUGGAACUGCGAGUGUAGAGGUGAAAUUCGUAGAUAUUCGCAAGAACACCAGUGGCGAAGGCGGCUCACUGGCCCAUUACUGACGCUGAGGCACGAAAGCGUGGGGAGCAAACAGG
rnacentral:rRNA from 1 species